rnacentral:piRNA from 1 species
UUACAUUUCAGUGAAAAGUUUUUAAAAUGU